ensembl:lncRNA
CUCCAGCCCUCUGAUCAUCUUUGUCACACUUCUCUGGAUCUGCUCCAAUAACUUCUUGUCCUUCUCGUGUUAAGGACCCCAGAACUGGAUGUAGUACUCCGGAAUUCUACAAAACUCUUGAUCUGCACCUACUGUGGUUGUAACAUCCUCCUGCUGGAGCCGUGGCCUGUUCUUAAUUCCUGUCUCAUUGCUUAAGCACUCAUCUUUUCAUUAUCCAUGAAAUUGGGCCCUUAUCUGUCAAAUAUGGAGGCAGGUGCUCAUGGCAGAUAGCAUCGGGAUAAGGGAAGCUUGAAAACUGCUCACUCUUCAAGGAGAAAAAAAAAAGCAGUGUCUGAGAUAGCUUUCUGCUCUCCAUUUCACUGCCUGCGUUUGGAGGAGCUGCAUUGGUUUUGACAGCAUUCACACCAGUCUUUCUGAGAUGAGACUCUGGUUCAUUGCCUUGCACAGCCUAAAACCGCACGGGUCCUUAUAUUCAAUAAAAUAUUGAUAGUCUUUUUGCUGCUUUCACCAGGCAGUAACAAAAUGGUGACACAAAAGAAUUCCCCAGCCCAACCUAUUCAGUGCUUAAAAUGCAUUAUGCAAAACCCCAGAAGCUGAAUGACCACAGGACAUUUUAUUUCAAGGGGGAUGCCCACAAAUGCUUAACAAAAAGACAAGAUUACUGAAUUCAACUUACUGUCAUGAGAAAAAAAAUAACAUCAAAACUGCAUGAUAUAAUCCAAACCAGAAUAUAUAUCUUUAAGGGAAAUAGCUGUCUUUAAAAAGUAAAAAUAAUUUCUGGAUGAUGGAAAAAGCCACUACACGUUAAGCUUUUUGGACUACAGAUUUUUUUGCUGACUGUAAAGCCAAUCUUUCAAUGGAACCUUUCAUUUUACUUUUACAGUGGGAAACUAUUUAAAGAAAUUAAGGUUGUAUUAGAACCAAAGUUUCUAUUAUAGUUUAUGAAGUUGAAUGGUUUAUUCAUUCUGCUGUGUUAUGUCAUUAUUGCUUAUGUGCUUUGAUUAGCAUAAGUAAAGCUUUCCAUUCUUGCAGUGGGGAGUCUCUCUCUUCAGCCUCAUAAACCAAACAUUGUCCCAGAUUUAGCUCUGCCUUUUUCUCUCUGUAGUUAUAUCUGAAUUGAGCUAUUUGGGCUGGAAGUCACAACAGCCCUUAUAUUUUUGGCUUGCAAGACAAAAUGGUCUUGUUUAUUUUCCGGCCUAAAAAAUAUCCUUGAAAUCUUCUGAUACCUUUAAUAUUGCUUUCUCAGUAAGAUAUGUUCUUGUGCAUGAUCUCUGGAAAAGCUCCUUGUAAUAGGAUUCAGUUAGGACCAUGGUUGCCAUGCCCCCCUCCACUCCUCCAAAAGAAGUCUUUGGCUUACUGAUGUUACUGGUCCCUGGGAACGGGCUAUAGUAUGUGAUUUAUAACCUAUGAGCUGCUUGUCUCAAAUUUCUUCCAGUGUUUAAAAAUAAAGCCAUAUGUUCCCUAUCAUUAUUUAGAUGAAUACAAGCAGUGUAAGGAAGAAGAGAUUGCAAAUCUGUGGAAAGACGCAAGAUACCUCUACAAAUCAAUGAGACUUUGUGGCAGACUCCCAAAAUAUGUUACUUUUCUGGAAUCUUCUCUGUAAUAAUGUUUCUUUUAAUAUCAGGAAUAUGGAUACCAUGGACUCAUGGCUGAUCCAAAGUACCAAGUGUAUGUGGUGGACAAAUUCCAGCUAGCAACAAGAGUCAUGCGGUGCUUUAAAACACCAUUAAUUAAACCUCACAGCAUCCCAGGGAAGUAGGUGGUGAUAUCUCCAUUUAGCAUUUGCUGGGAAACAACCAGCAAAGGGUAGCAACUCUCUAUUGCACGAAUCAACAAACCAGCAAUGGCAUUUGCGCUUUUCUGUCCAGUUGCUAGCGUUUCCAUCUCCUUAAAAACAACAGAGAGCAUUUCCUUACCUCUUCACUUGCUUUUGUGAGUAGAUCACAAAAUCUCUGAGAGAAUACGCAGUACCAGGUACACUAUUUCCACACAUGGGGCAAAAUCCAGUUAUACAGCUGGAAACGUGGAACAGCUUUCCAGAUAUUAAAUACAAUCACACCAGCUCCUACUGAUGUAAGAACUGUGUGCAGAACAGUUUUUAAUAUAAACCAAGUCAGAAGUGGACACUGAACACUGAGAUAAUUUCUUUCAAAUGCCUUCUGCUUCAUAGUUUGCUAAGGACACAAACGCCAAUCCUUUUGUACCAAGAGAAAAGGCAUUCUUUUCAAAAGACAACUGCUUCUAUUCUCUCCUCAGCGCAAAAAGACAUAACCAGACGUUUCCUAUUAGGAGUAAAAGAAAUUAUGCAGGCUGAAUAUCCUAUGCACCAACAUUAAAAUUGCUAACGGAUGAGAAGAACGAUGGGUGUGCUGCUAUUUGUAACACAAAAUGAUCAGAACAAAAGUCAAAGCUGUAAUGCAUUCGCUUACUUAAAAAUGUGUAUUGUUAUACAAGGCAAUUAAAGAGUUUCAGACUAUUCUGUAUGUGAUCUGCCUUUUAGAUGAGACCUAAAAUUGAAACAUUUGAUGAUUAAAGCUCAAGUGGCAGUUU